UAGGGAAUCUUGCACAAUGGGCGAAAGCCUGAUGCAGCCAUGCCGCGUGUGUGAAGAAGGCCUUAGGGUUGUAAAGCACUUUCAGUGGCGAAGAAAAAGUCGGCGCUAAUACCGCCGAUCAUUGACGUUAACCACAGAAGAAGCACCGGCCAACUCCGUGCCAGCAGCCGCGGUAAUACGGAGGGUGCGAACGUUAAUCGGAAUUACUGGGCGUAAAGUGCGCGUAGGCGGCUUGUUAAGUGGGAUGUGAAAGCCCCGGGCUCAACCUGGGAAUUGCGUUUCAAACUGACAAGCUAGAGUUCAGUAGAGGGAGGUGGAAUUUCCUGUGUAGCGGUGAAAUGCGUAGAUAUAGGGAGGAACACCAGUGGCGAAGGCGGCCUCCUGGACUGAAACUGACGCUCAAACGCGAAAGCGUGGGGAGCAAACAGG
rnacentral:rRNA from 2 species